rnacentral:rRNA from 1 species
ACGGGAGGCAGCAGUGGGGAAUAUUGCACAAUGGGGGAAACCCUGAUGCAGCGACGCCGCGUGAGUGAAGAAGUAUUUCGGUAUGUAAAGCUCUAUCAGCAGGGAAGAAAAUGACGGUACCUGACUAAGAAGCACCGGCUAAAUACGUGCCAGCAGCCGCGGUAAUACGUAUGGUGCAAGCGUUAUCCGGAUUUACUGGGUGUAAAGGGAGCGUAGACGGCGAGGCAAGUCUGAAGUGAAAUGCGGGGGCUCAGCCCCUGAACUGCUUUGGAAACUGUUUUGCUAGAGUGCAGGAGAGGUAAGUGGAAUUCCUAGUGUAGCGGUGAAAUGCGUAGAUAUUAGGAGGAACACCGGCGGCGAAGGCGGCUUACUGGACUGUAACUGACGUUGAGGCUCGAAAGCGUGGGGAGCAAACAGGAUUAGAUACCCUGGUA